AACGAACGCUGGCGGCAUGCCUAACACAUGCAAGUCGAACGAGACCUUCGGGUCUAGUUGCGCACGGGUGCGUAACGCGGGGGAACCUGCCCUUAGGUUCGGAAUAACUCCCCGAAAGGGGUGCUAAUACCGGAUAAUGUCUUCGGACCAAAGAUUUAUCGCCGUUGGAUGGGCGCGCGUUGGAUUAGCUAGUUGGUAGGGUAAAAGCCUACCAAGGCGACGAUCCAUAGCUGGUCUGGGAGGAUGACCAGCCAGACUGGGACUGAGACACGGCCCAGACUCCUACGGGAGGCAGCAGGAGGGAAUAUUGGACAACGGGCGAAAGACUGAGCCAGCAAUGCCGCGUGAGUGAUGAAGGCCUUAGGGUUGUAAAGCUCUUUUAUCCGGGAUGAUAAUGACAGUACCGGGAGAAUAAGCUCCGGCUAACUCCGUG
rnacentral:rRNA from 1 species